GACAGAGGUUGCAAACGUUGUUCGGAAUUACUGGGCAUAAAGCGCACGUAGGCGGUUCGUUAAGUCAUGUGUGAAAUCCCUCGGCUCAACCGAGGAAUUGCGCCUGAUACUGGCGGGCUAGAGAUCGAUAGGGGUGAGUGGAACUCCAGGUGGAGCGGUGAAAUGCGUAGAUAUCUGGAGGAACACCAGUGGCGAAAGCGGCUCACUGGAUCGAUACUGACGCUGAGGUGCGAAAGCUAGGGGAGCAAACAGG
rnacentral:rRNA from 1 species